GUGUCAGCCGCCGCGGUAAUACCAGCACCCCGAGUGGUCGGGACGAUUAUUGGGCCUAAAGCAUCCGUAGCCGGCCUUACAAGUCCUCCGUUAAAUCCAGCUGCUUAACAGAUGGGCUGCGGAGGAUACUAUAAGACUAGGAGGCAGGAGAGGCAAGCGGUACUCAGUGGGUAGGGGUAAAAUCCGUUGAUCCAUUGAAGACCACCAGUGGCGAAGGCGGCUUGCCAGAAUGCGCUCGACGGUGAGGGAUGAAAGCUGGGGGAGCAAACCGGAUUAGAUACCCGGGUAGUCCCAGCCGUAAACGAUGCAGACUCGGUGAUGGACUAGCUUUAUGCUGGUCCAGUGCCGCAGGGAAGCCGUUAAGUCUGCCGCCUGGGUAGUACGGUCGCAAGACUGAA
rnacentral:rRNA from 1 species